ACUGAGCGAUGCAGGUGGAACGCUGUCACUGCUGAGGGCUCCAGGAGAGCCCACAAACACACAGUUAACCCCCGGUUAAACCACUGGAGGGCAGGAUGGAAACAAAGGAAAGCUCUUUCCAAAACGGGGCUGCACCUGGUUCACAGAUUUUGUGUGCAGGACAUUUAUCUUCAGUAUUCUGCAGACCCACUUCUACUCAUUAUUACAGUGAAAUCUUGGCACAGAUAAUUAGAGGGUCCCCAGGCAGCUCAGUGUCUGUUCCAGUGUCCUGGCCCCGCUUUGAUGUGGGCUCAGCGCAGAGGUGCUCCUUUGUGCCCAGGACAGCUCCCAGGGAGGGGCUGAGGAGCGCUGAUCAAUCCUGAGGCGGAUGCCAGCCAAAAAGAGCAGCUGAUGAAAUGUUUGAUAACCGGAUCAGCUGCAGAGCCACCCCGGCCACCCC